rnacentral:rRNA from 1 species
UGGGGAAUAUUGGGCAAUGGAGGCAACUCUGACCCAGCAACGCCGCGUGAGGGAAGAAGGUUUUCGGAUUGUAAACCUCUGUCCUUGGGGACGAAGAAAGUGACGGUACCCAAGGAGGAAGCCCCGGCUAACUACGUGCCAGCAGCCGCGGUAAUACGUAGGGGGCAAGCGUUGUCCGGAAUUACUGGGCGUAAAGGGUGCGUAGGCGGUUAUUUAAGUCAGAUGUGAAAUCCCCGGGCUUAACUCGGGUGGUGCAUUUAAAACUGGGUAACUAGAGUGCAGGAGAGGGAAGCGGAAUUCCUAGUGUAGCGGUGAAAUGCGUAGAUAUUAGGAGGAACACCAGUGGCGAAGGCGGCUUUCUGGACUGUAACUGACGCUGAGGCACGAAAGCGUGGGGAGCAAACAG